UGGGGAAUUUUGCGCAAUGGGCGCAAGCCUGAUCCAGCCAUGCCGCGUGGAUGAUGAAGGCCCUAGGGUUGUAAAAUCCUUUCGUCAGGGACGAUAAUGACGGUACCUGAAGAAGAAGCCCCGGCUAACUUCGUGCCAGCAGCCGCGGUAAUACGAAGGGGGCUAGCGUUGUUCGGAAUUACUGGGCGUAAAGCGCAUGUAGGCGGGUCGUUAAGUCGGGGGUGAAAGCCCAGAGCUCAACUCUGGAACUGCCUUCGAUACUGGCGACCUGGACCCAAGGAGAGGCGAGUGGAAUUGCGAGUGUAGAGGUGAAAUUCGUAGAUAUUCGCAGGAACACCAGUGGCGAAGGCGACUCGCUGGACUUGUGGUGACGCUGAGAUGCGAAAGCGUGGGGAGCAAACAGGAUUAGAUACCCAAGUAGUCCCUGAGCGGGCUGGCAAGGCGCAU
rnacentral:rRNA from 1 species